rnacentral:rRNA from 1 species
AUUGAACGCUGGCGGCAUGCUUUACACAUGCAAGUCGAACGGUAACAGGCCGCAAGGUGCUGACGAGUGGCGAACGGGUGAGUAAUGCAUCGGAACGUGCCCAGUCGUGGGGGAUAACGUAGCGAAAGCUACGCUAAUACCGCAUACGACCUGUGGAUGAAAGCGGGGGACCGUAAGGACUCGCGCGAUUGGAGCGGCCGAUGUCAGAUUAGGUAGUUGGUGAGGUAAAGGCUCACCAAGCCGACGAUCUGUAGCUGGUCUGAGAGGACGACCAGCCACACUGGGACUGAGACACGGCCCAGACUCCUACGGGAGGCAGCAGUGGGGAAUUUUGGACAAUGGGCGCAAGCCUGAUCCAGCAAUGCCGCGUGCAGGAUGAAGGCCUUCGGGUUGUAAACUGCUUUUGUACGGAGCGAAAAGGCUUCCACUAAUACUGGGGGCUCAUGGCGGUACCGUAAGAAUAAGCACCGGCUAACUACGUGCCAGCAGCCGCCGUAACAC